rnacentral:lncRNA from 1 species
GGGAGAUCCAGUCUGCCACGUCUAACCACUAUGCCUGCACCUAUCUUUCAAGAUCUUUAAAAAGGAGUCAUUUCCUAUGGGACUGUUAGAAAUAGAAAAGCAGAAGAAUUACAGAAGGUGGCCUGGUUAACAGAUGCCGAAUAUUCCCACUAUGGUCUCCACAAAGAAGUUCUAAAAUUGUCUGAAAUGAUCAGGUAUUGGAGAGUAACACUUCUGGAUGGGGAUUCACAGCAGCUGGCACCAUGGGAGGACUGAACAGAUAAUAACGAACGCCCAAGAAAGAAGGGUGCAUUUUCUCUUGUGUGGAUCUGUUGUCAUGGAUUCCGA